rnacentral:rRNA from 1 species
CCCUUAGACGUUCUGGGCCGCACGCGCGCUACACUGACGAAGGCAACGAGCUUUCCUUUACCGAAAGGUACGGGUAAUCUUUUGAAACUUCGUCGUGCUGGGGAUAGAUCCUUGCAAUUAUUGAUCUUAAACGAGGAAUUCCUAGUAAGCGCAAGUCAUCAACUUGCGUUGAUUACGUCCCUGCCCUUUGUACACACCGCCCGUCGCACCUACCGAUUGAAUGGUCCGGUGAAAUCUCCGGACUGGCGUGAGUCGGAGCAAUCUGACAAACACCGGAAAGUUGAUUAAACCUUACCAUUUAGAGGAAGGUGAAGUCGUAACA